AUAAUGUUAUUUUAUUCAGACAAAUGUCUUCUUCUCUCUCUAUCUAUCACCAUCUUUCCUCCUCUUCUCUCUCUAUCCCAAUCUCCCUCUCUGUCUCCCCCUCUUCUCUCUCUCUCUCUCUCUAUCCCCAUCUCCCUCCCUCUCUGUCCUCCCCUCUUCUCUCUCUCUCUAUCCCCAUCACCCUCUCUGUCCUCACCUCUUCUCUCUCUCUCUCUCUCUAUCCCCCUCUCUGUCCUCCCCUAUUCUCUCUCUCUCUCUAUCCCCAUCUCCCUCUCUAUCCCCAUCUCCCUCUCUGUCCUCCUCUCUCUCUCUCUCUCUCCCCAUCUCCCUCUCUAUGCCCAUCUCCCUCUCUGUCCUCCUCUCUCUCUCCCCAUCUCUCUCUCUGUCCUCCUCUCUCUUGCUCUCUCCCCAUCUCCCUCUCUCUCCCCAUCUCUCUCUCUGUCCUCCUCUCUCUUGCUCUCUCCCCAUCUCCCUCUCUAUCCCCAUCUCCCUCUCUGUCCUCCUCUCUCUCUCUCUCUCUCUCUCUCUCUCUCUCUCUCUCUCUCUCCCCAUCUCCCUCUCUAUGCCCAUCUCCCUCUCUGUCCUCCUCUCUCGCUCCCCAUCUCUCUCUCUGUCCUCCUCUCUCUCGCUCUCUCCCCAUCUCCCUCUCUAUCCCCAUCUCCCUCUCUGUCCUCCUCUCUCUAUCCUCAUCUCCCUCUCUGUCCUCCUCUCCCUAUCCCCAUCUCCUUCUCUGUCCCUCCCCAGAGAACGAUGGCUACUGGCCAAGACAGCUGGCUCUUUGGGCCACUCUGGUGCCGUUUUUCGAGGCUUGGAUUGUCGGGGGCUUGUCUUGCUGGGGGGUGAGGGGAGGAAACAAUGGGAGUAGAAGAACAUGCUCCAUUAUCGACCCGAGACUGAGACAGACAGAUAUCAGUAACUGACCCACUGUGAUUUCCACACUGGGGGAUUCAUGCUGGAGUCAGUUUGUGACUUGUUAGCAUACAGAAAUGUUCACAUUCUUACUGUCGAUGGGCUACUUUCGUUAUCCCCCAGUGCAUUGGAGUUUAGCAGAGUGGCAGGUGUAUGAGUGGAAACACAGCCACACUAAAGUAGCUUGUUUGCUCUACCAUGGUUCCUGGGUGUUUAGUGGUGGGCAGCGCACUGUGGUAGCGUGGGAAGGCGUAUGUGAACGGUGUCUCACUCAGCAGGGACUUAGACUGCCUCUCUCUACGUCUCUCUCUCUCUCUCUAUUUCUGCCCCUCUCCCUCUCU
rnacentral:lncRNA from 1 species